rnacentral:miRNA from 1 species
UUGUGUGUGUGUGUGUGUGUGCGCGCGUGUGCGUGCAUGUAUAUAUAUAUAUAUAUACACACAUACACACACACACACACACACACACAG